UUCUUUAGGAAAUGCUGUGGUCUAGUGCGAAGUUGUGCAGGAUCUGAAGGAUGACUUUGGCUUCAACAUUGGACCAGGAAGUCAGGCUUAAUAUUGUGACAUCCUUCCCAUCACAAAAACUCAAGAAGAGAUGGAACCCGGGAUCUCGUGUUCAUUUCAGGGACCUACUUCAAUCCCAAAAGUUUUGUCAGUUCUGUGAUCUAUCAUCAUAGUAUGCACCAUAUUAGUUUCUUUGGUUGUAUCUAAAAGUUUUUUGCAUUUUUUAAAUUUACAAACAAUUUAAUUAUCAACAUAGCAAUUUUAAAAUUAAAUUUUAAUCAGUUUGGAUUCCCACAAACUUGCUUUUGUUAUCCACUACCUCACCCCUAAGAGAUGUGUGUAAGGAACUCCACAGAUAACUCACCCACAUAUCCUUCCAUCCAUCUUAUGGUGAAAAACCCUGUUUCAAUGUUGCCCUUAAUUUUCAGUAACUUGUUCAUGAACAGGAAAGGUAUGAAGCAUGGCUGGGGUGUCUGGUACUGCUUUUGUACAUAUAUCGUCCAUCUUUUAACUUUUGGCUUAGAGCAUUUUCAGCAAGGUUCCUUCUUUUGCCCUGCCACAAAUGCUUUAGAGCCUUCCUUAGGAUUUCUGUUUGAUACCCAAACUCAGCUGCCUGCUCCCCCUCAUUAACAUCAUUUGAAGAAGUGGUGCAAACUUCCACAUAUAUUCUGAUGGCACCCAGCUCUACCUCUCCACCAUCUCCUUGAUCCUCCCACUGUUAUCAGACCACUUGUCUUGAACCUCAACAUUCUGCUGUUUCAGCAUUAAGGAGAGCAAAGCCGUCUUGCUCAGCUAUCCAGAAUAUUGGUUCCCUCAUCAUCAUCCCACUCAUAGACCAUUCUCAGGUUGAACCAAGCUGCACACAACCUUAGCAUCUAAUAUGAAUUUUCAACACUGUAGGUAAUCAAUCACACACAAAAAAAAGCUAUCGUAUCUACUUCUGUGACUGUCAAAAUUUAAUCCUAGCCUGAGGCAAUUGCUGCAGAGACAUGCAUCCACCACUUUGACAUCCAGAUUUGACUAUUUCAAUGAGCUGCUCGUCAGUUUCCAGUUCUAUUUCCUCCAUAAGCUUUAGAUGGUCUAACCUGAAGGUGAUACCACAUUCUCAAACAUCCAUCCAUUCCACCACUCCAGUGACAAAAGUGUGUACAGUCUACAAGAUGCACUACAGAAAUUGACCAAAGAUCCUUAGACAGCAAAUUCUAAACCAAUGAACACUUCCACCUAGAAGGAUAAGGGCAGCAGAUUCUUGGGAACAGCAUCCUCCAAGCAACUCACUAUCCUGACCUGGAAAUAUAUUGCCGUUCCUUCAGUGUUGCUGGAUCAAAAUCAUGGAAUUCCCUCCCUAAUGGGUCUACGUGCAACACAUGGACUGCAACUGUUAAAGAAGGCAGCUCACCACUGCCUUCUCAAGGACAACUAGGGGUGGCCAAGAAAUGCUGGCCAGUCCACGAUACCCAUGUCCUACGAUUGAUUUUUAAAAAUUGCUAGUUACCUGUACCUUUAAGAGUUACCCUCAUGAAUGAAGUUGAAAUUGCUUUUUUAAUUCAACAAUGAUGAGGUUAGAUUGUUGAACUGAUGCCAGGAAAGACAGAGCUUUUCUGUUUUUAAACUUAUCACAAUCAGGGAAACCAUAUGGUGUAGAGGGAAACCUUCUCAGUAAUCUCCUAUUUACUAUAGUCCCUGCUACAUUAUCUGUUUACACUGAGACACCAAUAUCCUGUAUCAAGAGCUAGACAUCCCUGUAAAUUUCCUUUGUUGUGCGCAGCCUGUGUAUUUUAAUGCAUGGUUCCUUUAAGUUGUUUUGCUAGAUUUGGGGUGCAUGCAGCAGAACAUGCAGACGACUUGUGACAGCCUCUGUGACACCUUCAUCACUACAGCAUGGCCACACAUACGUUUGGCUCAGCAGCUUUUUUGCUGGAGACAUCUAACCAUACACCAUCACCAUGACAUUGUCCAUGCUUAGAUAUUGAUUGGAGAUGGAGAGAGGACUCUUGGCACUUGCUAGGCAAGGAGCAUGGCGCAGUGUUUCAACUCCUGCAAGUUGUUUUCCACCUCUUAUGGGAACAUAAAAUACCAUUUUAAAUCGAUCAGCUUGUGGCUAUAGGGGAUCUAUGUGAGCAAUCCAUUCUUGAUAUUUAUGGCACUACGAUCUCUGAAUUCCCCACUAAUGGUGAUUACCAUACCUUGACCAGAAACUGGAAUGGAUCAGCUAUGUAAAUAAUGUGUCUACAAGAAUGGGUUAGCCCCUGGGAGUUCUAUGUGAGUAACUCACCCUCCGACUACCAAAGCUUGUCCACCAUCUACAAGAGACAAGUUGAGAAUACAAUGGAAUACUCUUCACUUACCUGGAUAAACAAAGCUCCAACAACAUGCAAAAGCUUGAUACCAUCCAGUAUAAAUAUCCUGCUAGUUUGGCAUCCCAUCCACUAUGAGCAAGGUUUAAUCCUUGCACACUUAUGCACAGUGACAUCUAGAAGAUGCAGUAACUCACCAAUGAUCCUUCGAAAUCUCCGAACUCUACCGCUUAGAAGGACAACAGCAGCAGGGGCAUGUGAACACCACCGCCCGUACGUUCCCCUCCAAGCCUGCUAGAACUCCACUCCUAAUCGCACUAUGGAUGAUUGAAGACUCCACGGACUGUAGAGUUUCAAAAAGACAGUUCACCACCACCUUUCUAUGUGGAUUAAUGGAUGUGCUAUAAAUCUUGGCCUAGUGGCCCUCCGUAGAAGAAUUUCUGAAAAUGAAUUCUCCCUUCAGAGUGGGGAUUCACUCUUUUACUUUUAGGAACUUUUUUUCUUUAUAUUUCUUAAUUUGUUUUGAAGAUUUUUAAAUAAUUGUUAGGCAAUCUUUG